rnacentral:rRNA from 1 species
AGUGAACGCUGGCGGUAGGCCUAACACAUGCAAGUCGAACGGCAGCACAGUAAGAGCUUGCUCUUACGGGUGGCGAGUGGCGGACGGGUGAGGAAUACAUCGGAAUCUACUUUUUCGUGGGGGAUAACGUAGGGAAACUUACGCUAAUACCGCAUACGACCUACGGGUGAAAGCAGGGGAUCUUCGGACCUUGCGCGAUUGAAUGAGCCGAUGUCGGAUUAGCUAGUUGGCGGGGUAAAGUCCCACCAAGGCGACGAUCCGUAGCUGGUCUGAGAGGAUGAUCAGCCACACUGGAACUGAGACACGGUCCAGACUCCUACGGGAGGCAGCAGUGGGGAAUAUUGGACAAUGGGCGCAAGCCUGAUCCAGCCAUACCGCGUGGGUGAAGAAGGCCUUCGGGUUGUAAAGCCCUUUUGUUGGGAAAGAAAAGCAGCAGGUUAAUACCCCGCUGUUCCGACGGUACCCAAAGAAUAAGCACCGGCUAACUUCGUG